GUCUUAGGUUCAAUAUCUUUUGUAC
rnacentral:snRNA from 1 species